rnacentral:tRNA from 1 species
GUGGGUGUAGCUCAGUUGGCAGAGCGCCUGUUUGUGGCACAGGAGGUCGCGGGUUCGAGCCCCGUCAUUCACCCCA